rnacentral:rRNA from 1 species
AUUGAACGCUGGCGGCAGGCUUAACACAUGCAAGUCGAGCGAGCGGCGGACGGGUGAGUAAUGUCUGGGAAACUGCCUGAUGGAGGGGGAUAACUACUGGAAACGGUAGCUAAUACCGCAUACCAUCAGAUGUGCCCAGAUGGGAUUAGCUAGUAGGUGGGGUAAUGGCUCACCUAGGCGACGAUCCCUAGCUGGUCUGAUAGGAUGACAAGCCACAUUGGAGAUGAGCCCCAGUCCAGAGUCCUACGUGAGGAAGCAGUGGGGAAUAUUGCACAAUGGGCGAAAGCCUGAUGCAGCCAUGCCGCGUGUGUGAAGAAGGCCUUCGGGUUGUAAAGCACUUUCAGCGAGGAGGCGUUACUCGCAGAAGAAGCACCGGCUAACUCCGUGCCAGCCGCCGCGGUAAUUC